rnacentral:rRNA from 1 species
GAUGAACGCUGGCGGCGUGCCUAAUACAUGCAAGUCGAGCGAACAGACGAGGAGCUUGCUCCUUUGACGUUAGCGGCGGACGGGUGAGUAACACGUGGGUAACCUACCUAUAAGACUGGGAUAACUUCGGGAAACCGGAGCUAAUACCGGAUAAUAUUUCGAACCGCAUGGUUCGAUAGUGAAAGAUGGCUCUGCCAUCACUUAUAGAUGGACCUGCGCCGUAUUAGCUAGUUGGUAAGGUAACGGCUUACCAAGGCAACGAUACGUAGCCGACCUGAGAGGGUGAUCGGCCACACUGGAACUGAGACACGGUCCAGACUCCUACGGGAGGCAGCAGUAGGGAAUCUUCCGCAAUGGGCGAAAGCCUGACGGAGCAACGCCGCGUGAGUGAUGAAGGUCUUCGGAUCGUAAAACUCUGUUAUUAGGGAAGAACAAACGCGUAAGUAACUGUGCACGUCUUGACGGUACCUAAUCAGAAAGCCACGGCUAACUACGUG